AGACCCGAAACCCGGUGAUCUAGCCAUGGGCAGGUUGAAGGUUGGGUAACACUAACUGGAGGACCGAACCGACUAAUGUUGAAAAAUUAGCGGAUGACCUGUGGCUGGGGGUGAAAGGCCAAUCAAACCGGGAGAUAGCUGGUUCUCCCCGAAAGCUAUUUAGGUAGCGCCUCGUGAAUUCAUCUCCGGGGGUAGAGCACUGUUUCGGCUAGGGGGCCAUCCCGGCUUACCAACCCGAUGCAAACUGCGAAUACCGGAGAAUGUUAUCACGGGAGACACACGGCGGGUGCUAACGUCCGUCGUGAAGAGGGAAACAACCCAGACCGCCAGCUAAGGUCCCAAAGUCAUGGUUAAGUGGGAAACGAUGUGGGAAGGCCCAGACAGCCAGGAUGUUGGCUUAGAAGCAGCCAUC
rnacentral:rRNA from 1 species